UAUUGGACAAUGGGCGCAAGCCUGAUCCAGCUAUGCCGCGUGAGUGACCAGAAGGCCUUAGGGUUGUAAAGCUCUUUCAGUAGUGAAGAUAAUGACGGUAACUACAGAAGAAGCCCCGGCUAGCUUCGUGCCAGCAGCCGCGGUAAUACGAAGGGGGCGAGCGUUGUUCGGAAUCACUGGGCGUAAAGGGCGCGUAGGCGGAUUGGCAAGUCGGGGGUGAAAUCCUAGAGCUUAACUCUAGAAGUGCCCUCGAUACUGUUAGUCUAGAGAUUAGGAGAGGCAAGUGGAAUUCCGAGUGUAGAGGUGAAAUUCGUAGAUAUUCGGAGGAACACCAGGGCGAAGGCGACUUGCGGCCUGUCGACGCGAGGCGCGAAA
rnacentral:rRNA from 1 species